rnacentral:rRNA from 1 species
CUACGGGGGGCUCCAGUGGGGAAUAUUGGACAAUGGGGGAAACCCUGAUCCAGCAAUGCCGCGUGUGUGAAGAAGGCCUGCGGGUUGUAAAGCACUUUCGGUUGGGAGGACUGCUUCUAGCACUAAUAUUGUUGGAAGUUGACGUUACCUUCAGAAGAAGCACCGGCUAACUCCGUGCCAGCAGCCGCGGUAAUACGGAGGGUGCAAGCGUUAAUCGGAAGUACUGGGCGUAAAGCGCGCGUAGGCGGCUAGAUCAGUCGGGUGUGAAAGCCCCGGGCUUAACCUGGGAACUGCAUCCGAUACUGUCUAGCUUGAGUACAGGAGAGGAGAGUGGAAUUCCACAUGUAGCGGUGAAAUGCGUAGAUAUGUGGAGGAACACCAAUGGCGAAGGCAGCUCUCUGGCCUGAUACAGACGCUGAGGUGCGAAAGCGUGGGGAGCAAACAGGGUUAGAUACCCUCGUAGUC